rnacentral:rRNA from 1 species
CGCGUAGGCGGCCUGCUAAGUCUGGAGUGAAAGUCCUGCUUUUAAGGUGGGAAGUGCUUUGGAUACUGGUGGGCUGGAGUGCAGGAGAGGAAAGCGGAAUUACCGGUGUAGCGGUGAAAUGCGUAGAGAUCGGUAGGAACACCAGUGGCGAAGGCGGCUUUCUGGACUGAAACUGACGCUGAGGCGCGAAAGCGUGGGGAGCAAACA